rnacentral:tRNA from 1 species
GGAGAGAUGGCCGAGUUGGUUAUGGCGCCAGGUUAAGGUUACUCUUAACAUUGUUUCCUGGUCACGAAAGUGGCGCGAGUUCGAGUCUCGCUCUCUUCA